rnacentral:rRNA from 1 species
UACGUAGGGUGCGAGCGUUAAUCGGAAUUACUGGGCGUAAAGCAUGCGCAGGCGGUUUUGUAAGCCAGAUGUGAAAUCCCCGGGCUCAACCUGGGAAUGGCAUUUGGGACUGCAAGGCUUGAGUGCGGCAGAGGAGACUGGAAUUCCUGGUGUAGCAGUGAAAUGCGUAGAUAUCAGGAAGAACACCAAUGGCGAAGGCAGCUCUCUGGGACGGUACUGACGCUGAGACGCGAAAGCGUGGGGAGCGAACAGG